AUUACAUUCCUUUCCCAAGCAAUUAUAUCCUUACAAUAGGCCCCAUUCCUGCAAGCUAUCCUGGCACAGAAGCAGAGAGUUAAAGGCAGAAGAGUGUUGGGAAGGACUGCCAGGGGAAAAAAGGCAUAGCCUUUCAGUCAGAACAGAGAACUGCCAGGAAAGCUGUAAGUCUUGGUAAGGCUCUGGUAAAAAAGCCAAAGGAAAAAAUCAAAUAGUUUUGGAGGCAUGAGGAAGCAGCAGGCUGUAGUGAUCCACCUGGACAACACUGGGAGUUGGCAGGAGGAUCUCCUGGAAGACAAGAAGGAGUGGUUUUCUUCCCGCAAAGUGGUUCCCAAUCAUGUCGCUUCAGUGAAGAUACUGAUGUUUGGCAGCUUUUGAUUUCUUCAAGGACUCAGUGCAUCUGCUAGAGGAAAGAUUGCUAACAGUAAGUGCAGAGCUGCCAUACAAUAGUAGAAAAGAGGAAAUAAAUUUAAUUUAUUUUAUUUGCUUACAAUGAGAAAGGAAAGCUGUAGCACAUGAGUGUGUACACAGGGUCUUCUGUGCAAUCCAGCCCAGAAAAAUGGGGCAAUUGCACCUCGUUCUUAUCCCAAGGUGCCGGAGGGCUCGGGCCCCCAUUCUGGCAGCAGGUUGUGAGGGCCGAGGCUGUUUUUCUAGUAAAAACUGCUUUUCUGGAGCCCUGAACACAAAUAAACUGAAGAGACAGAGGAGAACUUUCCUUAUGACAAAAUGGUUUACAGAAAGAAUGUGAAGUCUGUCUUUUCCAGAAGUUCCACUGCAAUAUCAACAGAAAAAUACAUUGUUUCUUCCUUGUGAUACAAUAAUACAUCUUUAAACCAAAUUUCUUGAGUAGGCGUAGAUGAAGAGCAUAGCUGUUUAUGUAUCUAUAUUAUGCAAUUGUAGUAUGUAUGUAUCUACCAAAAAAGCAUGCUCUUUAACUGGUUUCCCCAUUCAUUUUACCCUUCAUCAUUGCUAUCAGAUAUAUGUGCUGUUUGCAAUAAUGAAGAGGAAAGCAGCUGAGUCAUUGUACCCAGUGGGUUUGUACUGCUGCAAGCUCAAAAAUGAAGAUAAUAAAAGUGCAGUUAUACUGCAUAGAAGCAGAAGAAGCAUGAAAGUCAGUAUACAACAAAAAUAAGACAGUGAUAAGUAAUUCAGAAAGUAAGGUAAGUUUCUGUGUCAAAUAAUGUAUUUAGCUUAAUCCUAAAGGAUCCAGAGCAAAGAAAAUCCACCUGCAUCCACUUGUAAAUGAAUUAUUUUCGUGAUCUGCUGAAUACAGAUGUCCUUUAGCCACAUAACAAAUCACAAUGGGAGAUCUUAGGUUUAUAGCCUUUGCACUGUGAAGUAGUUGAGAUUUUUAAUUUUCCUCAUUUGACUAUGAUUCCCAGACUGAAAAAUUUUCCCCUCGUAAAUAAUUCAGGUUCUCUUCCUGUGACUGCAACACAAGCCUGCUUUUCUACCUGCCUGCACUUAUGUGUACAGCACAGUAUGCAAAAGAGUGCCCAAAUGAAAAGAUUUAUUAAAAUUAUUGCUAUGAGAAACUUAAAA